GAAUCCCGUCUUUGACACGGACUGCCAAGGCUUUGUGGUGCGCUCUCGAAGAGUCGAGUUGUUUGGGAAUGCAGCUCUAAAUGGGUGGUAAAUUCCAUCUAAAGCUAAAUAUUGGCGAGAGACCGAUAGCAAACAAGUACCGUGAGGGAAAGAUGAAAAGAACUUUGGAAAGAGAGUUAAACAGUACGUGAAAUUGCUGAAAGGGAAACGCUUGAAGUCAGUCGCGUUAGCUAGGACUCAGCCUCGCUCUUGCGUGGUGUACUUUCUGGUUGACGGGUCAGCAUCAAUUUUGACUGCUGGAAAAAGGUCUUGGGAAUGUGGCAGCUUCGGCUGUGUUAUAGCCCUUGGUCACAUACAGCGGUUGGGAUUGAGGAACUCAGCACGCCGCAAGGCCGGGUACUUGUACCACGUUCGUGCUUAGGAUGCUGGCAUAAUGGCUUUAAUCGACCCGUCUUGAAACACGGACCAAGGAGUCUAACAUGCCUGCGAGUGUUUGGGUGGAAAACCCGGACGCGUAAUGAAAGUGAAAGUUGAGAUCCCUGUCGUGGGGAGCAUCGACGCCCGGACCAGACCUUUUGUGACGGAUCCGCGGUAGAGCAUGUAUGUUGGGACCCGAAAGAUGGUGAACUAUGCCUGAAUAGGGUGAAGCCAGAGGAAACUCUGGUGGAGGCUCGUAGCGAUUCUGACGUGCAAAUCGAUCGUCAAAUUUGGGUAUAGGGGCGAAAGACUAAUCGAACCAUCUAGUAGCUGGUUCCUGCC
rnacentral:rRNA from 1 species